UUUAAAAAAAGAUAAAAAAAAAAGUAAAAACAAACCAAGUAAAAACACAGCAUCAGUGCAAUUUUGGUUGCGAAUUGCUUUAUUUUAAAAAUAUAUAUUUCCUCACUUUGUUUUUGUUAUUGUUGGUUUUGCAUGCAAUCAAAUACUGAAUUGGAUUUGGAGUGCGUGUGUGUGUGUGUGUGUGUGUGUGAGUGUGUGAGGAGUGCGCGUGUUUUUGUAACUUUGGUACAAGCGCGCGAAUUUUAAAGCGUUCAAUGUCUGUGUCCGUCUCUAUUUGAACCUCGGCGACAAACGCAAAAUUUGGUUUCAAAUAAGCGCGCACAAAACAAGCACACGAGGAACGAUUCGAAUCGGCUUGUUGAUUGAAAUGCAACACGCGCAACGCAAAAACAAUUCCAACAACAACAAAAUCGAACUGUAAUUUAACUAGCAAUUAUCAAAAUUUAUAAGAAGCCAUAAGUACAACAGAAUUAAUAAUCCAAAAAUCAUUACCAAUCGUUUAACUAGUGCAACCAAUACAACUAAAUCAAAAACUAAAAUUCUAAACGGAAUAUUGUUAAAUUCGUCGGAAUACAAUUUUCAAACCAACAACAGUCAGC